CGGCCGUUCACUCCGACGAACGACAGCACACAGGCCGCGCAUCGGCUGACAGCUCGCGCAGGCGCCUUGUGCCGAUGACGAACCGCGCGAAGCAAGGAAGGCCGACGACCUCCGGAUUAAAAACGAUACCCGGCCGUUAGAAACGUUCGAAUUCGCACCCGCAAAUGACGAGACGAUUCCCCCCGAUACGACACCCCCACGACGAGACAGGGGGGGGCCUCCACCGGGGUAUAAAAAGACGGCCGAAACGGAGGAACAGGCAGAUCUCCUCCGGCGAGCCGAGCUCGCCUCCGUCGACCAGAUCUUAGAGAAACCAGAGGUCUACGUACAGUGGCCCCGGCCGGAUAUUACCGGCGUUCUCACAGAAAUCUGGAAAACUCCAAAUUCCUUUUUCCCACACGGCUUAAGCAAGGGGUUAGGGCUAUCCCGCCUCCGCCGGACAUUACCGGCCCGCCGAAAUCCUACCCUCCCGUCGAUUCCUAGCACAAGGCUACCGAGGUAAGGAAGCAUCCUGCCCCGGCCGGACAUUUCCGGCUAGCCGCCGCCAAGGAACCGAUAUUCCUCCCCGAAUAACAGACGCGCGCGUCCCCCCACCAUCAGACGCACAUACACGAGACUGCCGACAAUCGCGAGACGCGCCGCAGACCCCGUACACGUCACGCCAAGCGAGGCACGGGAUUCUUUUCUCCGAGCGCGAAAACAACGAUCUCUUUAACAACAAGUAAACACGUUUUCGGCAAUCUGCGACAAGAACACGACGCGGACAUCUUACCUUUGUUAAUAUAAUAAACCAUCAUUAUCUCAAUAAAUACAGUUAAAACAGACUAAAGUAUUCGAAUGUGUCUCUGACCUAUUUCCCCUAACCCCGUCCACUCGCACGACCGUAGGGGAAGAACAGGUCGUUACAGAUUUAAUAACAACUUGAUCUUUAUCUAUACAUAUUUUAAGUAUAUCAUUCUGAAAACAAUAUUUAAAAAUAUAAUUAGUUGCACUUAUUACAUAAUAUGUUGUUUUCAAUUAAAAUCAAGAUCACGUAGAAUCAGUAAUGUUUUCAAUAAAUAAUUACAAUUUAUUAAAACUUGUUAUAACUUGUGUUUUAAUAACUAAAUGUUAUUAAAACUAAAAUCAUAAAAAUAUAUCAGUAUUUAAAAUUAGUAAAUAUUAUUUUAAUUUUGCUCAUCACGUCUGCAAGUAGUUUAUCACCAUCUUCUUCAUUAAAUUUUAUAAAAUCUGUUAUAUUAUCAAUAGGUAGAGAAAACCCAUGAUCUUGAGAGAAUUUAUCAACAUUGCAGUUUCUUUUUUUUGUAUUAACUCGUUACAAAUGGUUAUUAUUUUUUUUUGUAUAAAUUGCAUGUCACACUUUAAACUCACUAUGUCUGUUGCUAGUGUUUCUAGACCUAAUAAUUUAUAGUAUGUAAUUCAUAUUUUCAGGUAAUUCAAAUGAGAUAUUUAUGUAAAUUAUUAUUAAUAGAGAUUAUUUAUGUACAUUACCUAAGUGUGAUUGCUGACUAAUAUCCAAAGUUUUAUUAGAGUCAUUUUUUAAAAAAAUUGUACCAUUGUUUACUGAAAUUGUUAAUUAAAUGUGUAUUAUUUUAAUUAUAAAUAAAAUUAUUUAAAUAAAAUAAGCAUAGUAUACUAGCAUUUACCUGAAGUAGUUAUAUUUUGUGUCUUUUCUGAUUGAUUGAUGGAACAUAUAUUAUCACUCGUGUUUUCAUACAAGACAAUUGUAUUUUCUGAAAUUAUUUUAUAACAAAAAUUUAAAAAUAACGUUUUAUAUUAUAGCAUUUUACAGAAUCUAUGAAAAUUAAUUUAAAAAAUUUUAAAAAUAAGAAUAUUACAUAAUUAAUAUAAUAUUUAUAUUAUAUAUAAAAAAGUACCUAGUUGUUCUGAAUUAGAAGUAUUAUUAUCUAAUACUUUCUGUUUUUUUUUUAAAUUCUUUGGUAAGUUUAUUUCAGACAGAAUGUUUGGUUUUUGAAAUUUCUUUUUUUUCUUUAAUUGGGGCACAUCCUCUUCAGAUAUGUUUUCUAAAAAUAAUUAAGUGUUAUAGUUAUAUGUUAGAAAGUGUGUGUGUGUGUGUGUGUGUGUGUGUGUGUGUGUGUGUGUGUGUGUGUGUGUGUAUGUGUGUAAAAUGUCAAAUAAAUGAGAUAGAUAAUCCGUGAGAAUGAGAAAAUAGAGAAUAAAAAAUGUCAAGAUUAUAGAUGAGUGAACAAUAUCAGUUAUAUAUCUCUGUGAGUGAAAAUAGAUGAGAAUGAUUGUGUUUACAGAUGACAACUUGAAUUUAUACCCAAA
rnacentral:lncRNA from 1 species